rnacentral:rRNA from 1 species
CGGACGGGUGAGUAAUGUCUGGGAAACUGCCUGAUGGAGGGGGAUAACUACUGGAAACGGUAGCUAAUACCGCAUAACGUCGCAAGACCAAAGAGGGGGACCUUCGGGCCUCUUGCCAUCAGAUGUGCCCAGAUGGGAUUAGCUAGUAGGUGAGGUAACGGCUCACCUAGGCGACGAUCCCUAGCUGGUCUGAGAGGAUGACCAGCCACACUGGAACUGAGACACGGUCCAGACUCCUACGGGAGGCAGCAUG